UUUCCUACGGGAGGCAGCAGUAAGGAAUAUUGGUCAAUGGACGAAAGUUGAACCCCAUGCCGCGUGGAGGAUGAAGGUCCUCUGGAGUAAACUCUUUAUCUGGGACGAAAAAAAGGUCUUUCUAGAUCGUCUGACGGUACCAGAUGAAUAAGCACCGGCUAACUCCGUGCCAGCAGCCGCGGUAAUACGGAGGGUGCAGCGUAUCCGGAUUUACUGGGUUUAAAGGGUGCGUAGGUGGACUGGUAAGUCAGUGGUGAAAUAUGGCAGCUCAACUGUCAGGGUGCCAUUGAUACUGCGGAGCUUGAGUACAGAUGAGGUAGGCGGAAUUGACGGUGUAGCGGUGAAAUGCUUAGAUAUCGUCAAGAACACCGAUAGCGAAGGCAGCUUACUAGGCUGUAACUGACGCUGAGGCACGAAAGUGUGGGGAUCAAACAGGAUUAGAUACCCUGGUAGUCCACGCCCUAAACUAUGGAUACUCGACAUACGCGAUACACUGUGUGUGUCUGAGCGAAAGCAUUAAGUAUCCCACCUGGGAAGUACGAUCGCAAGAUUGAAACUCAAAGGAAUUGGCGGGGGUCCGCACAGCGGUGGAGCAUGUGGUUUAAUUCGAUGAUACGCUACCUUACCUGGGCUAGAAUGUCAGUGGACCG
rnacentral:rRNA from 1 species